rnacentral:rRNA from 1 species
GACGAACGCUGGCGGCGUGCCUAAUACAUGCAAGUUGAGCGCUGAAGGUUGGUACUUGUACCCACUGGAUGAGCAGCGAACGGGUGAGUAACGCGUGGGGAAUCUGCCUUUGAGCGGGGGACAACAUUUGGAAACGAAUGCUAAUACCGCAUAAAAACUUUAAACACAAGUUUUAAGUUUGAAAGAUGCAAUUGCAUCACUCAAAGAUGAUCCCGCGUUGUAUUAGCUAGUUGGUGAGGUAAAGGCUCACCAAGGCGAUGAUACAUAGCCGACCUGAGAGGGUGAUCGGCCACAUUGGGACUGAGACACGGCCCAAACUCCUACGGGAGGCAGCAGUAGGGAAUCUUCGGAAAUGGACGAAAGUCUGACCGAGCAACGCCGCGUGAGUGAAGAAGGUUUUCGGAUCGUAAAACUCUGUUGGUAGAGAAGAACGUUGGUGAGAGUGGAAAGCUCAUCAAGUGACGGUAACUACCCAGAAAGGGACGGCUAACUACGUG